UACGGAGGGAGCUAGCGUUGUUCGGAAUCACUGGGCGUAAAGCGCACGUAGGCGGCUUUGUAAGUUAGAGGUGAAAGCCCGGGGCUCAACUCCGGAACUGCCUUUAAGACUGCAUCGCUUGAAUCUGGGAGAGGUAAGUGGAAUUCCGAGUGUAGAGGUGAAAUUCGUAGAUAUUCGGAAGAACACCAGUGGCGAAGGCGGCUUACUGGACCAGAAUUGACGCUGAGGUGCGAAAGCGUGGGGAGCAAACAGGAUUAGAAACCCUAGUAGU
rnacentral:rRNA from 1 species